ACAGCAGUUACUACUGUUACUGCUAGAGAACGUCAUUAUGACUGAACAAAGGGACAAACACAGAAAUGAUAACAAAGAGGCAAAAGAAACAGUUUAAAGGAAAGGCUAGCAUGGACAAGAAGAGCACUCCCUGCUUCUAGUGAGCAAAGGCAGCCCCCCUUGAGCUUCUAUAGCCCUUCUUAUUUAUUGGGUAACAAGAGCAAGGAGGAGGAGAGUUCUGCAAGGAGAUUGGAAGAAAAUGUGAGGACUGAGCCCAUAAGAAUAUUUUUCUUUCUGUUUUUAUCAGGGGGCAUUUUGACUAUCAGCAUUUUUAUUUACUUGCUCUGGCUUUGGCAUGAUUUGCUAUUGGAGAGAUAUAACAGUAUUGUUUUUCUUCUGAUGGAGACAAAAUAUUCAUUUAUA
rnacentral:lncRNA from 1 species